rnacentral:lncRNA from 1 species
UCUUGUAAUUUUGACUGCUUCUAGCUUGUAGGGUUGUGUUUUGUGUUGUAUUCAUAUCUGCAAUUUUCCUCUCUGUAAGACGUUGUUCAUGUGCUUCAAGAGAAUUUCGCAAUUCUUCAACCUUCAUCUUUUCUGUAUCUUUGCUUUCCUCAAUCGCCACAGCUAUAUGAUCGAAUCGAGAUGGCAAUGUUCUCAGGAUUUUUGCUACUAUCUUCUUUUCUUUGACCACUUUAUUACAUGUCCGCAUUGCAUUCACGACCACCUGGAUUCUUCCAAUAUAUGCUUCUAUGGUUUCUUGUUCCCCCAUACUUAGAAGCUCGUACUGUCUCUGUAAAGAUUGAAGUCUCACUUUCUUUAUCUUUCCUGAAUUGCCAUACCCGUCUUGUAGUAUAUCCCAGGCCUCCUUAGUUGUCGUUGCUUUUGAGAUUUUCUGGAAAAUAGUUGCAGAAACG